GGGGAUUUGGCUCAGUGGUAGAGCGCUUGCCUAGGAAGCGCAAGGCCCUGGGUUCGUUCCCCAGCUCCG
rnacentral:tRNA from 1 species